rnacentral:lncRNA from 1 species
AGUGGGGAGAAGAUGUGAAGAACGCAGUGACGACAGCACUCGAGGAGCUUAACGAUUUCAACCCAAGUGGUCGGUAUUCUGUUCCAGCACUGUGGAAUUUUGAACACGGGAGAAAAGCCACACUCAGUGAAGGUAUUGCUCACAUGACGCAGCAAAUCAAAAAUCUCAAACGCCAACGGACCUAAAAUGUAUGUGCCACAACUUUGCAAAUGAACCUCUCUAGGUUUGACGGUAUACACAUAUACAUAUAGUGAUGCGUCAGUUUCGUUUUAUGUUGAUGAUACUAAGAUUAGUGUAACUUGUUACAGGAAGCAGGAUGAUCAGUGAAGGAUGUUAAAUAGGUUCUUAACGGGUUUUGGAUUGAUAAGCAAGGAGAUACUUGUUUUGUAAGGGCUUGUUACUUUCUAGUCAGUGCUUCUCUAAUUUUAUUUUAAGCAAUCUAAACCCGUUCGAAUGUACUGUUUUGAAACUCUACUACAUUCCUAUUAGUAUUAACUAUUUUCUUCUCGUUGGUUUUGGUAACACGUUUUUCUUUUGUGUCUUAUAAACUAAAACCAUCGUUAGGGUAAUUAACUUACGUGGCCUUUCUCAAAUUCUCAUGUUUUUUUCUUGUAAACAAUUGCUAUGGACGUCUAGAGAGCUGAGUAAUCACAGUUAGGCACCCAUUUAUUUGUACAAAACAACAGUGGAAAAUUGAUAGACUCAUCUCAUAUGCCUCAGUUCAUCACUCAACAACUGCGCAACACACAAGGAACAAAGUUUACCAACCUGAUGAGAAUGCAGAGAAGAGUUUAGUUUCAAUCACUAACUGUUAGCACGCUUUGGUUUAAUUGUGUGGCUCAAAGAACAAUAUUGAGACGAACUUCAAGUUCUUUAUAUACUCCCUCCUUUUUUUUAUAAAUGACUUUGUAUCAUUUCACACAAAUUUAGGUAACUAAUACUCCCUCCGUUUUUUAAUAUAAGUCGUUUUAAAGCUAUGCACGUAAAUUAAGAAAAUCAUUAAUUUCUUAUAUUUUCGAAACAAAAACAUCAUUAAUUAUUUACCUAACUACAAUUCAACCAAUAGAAAAAUAGAAUAUAUAUUAUCAUUGGUCAGACAACAUUAAUUAUUAAUAAAUGUUACAUAGACAACUGAAAGCGACAUAUAAUUUGGAACAAAAAAGUUUCUCUAAAACGAUUUAUAUUAAAAAACGGAGGGAGUAAAAUAUAUAUUCUUACCUUUUAUAAUUAUUUAAAUUUAAGAAAAUUAAAAUUUCGAAUUUUAAAAGAAUUUAAGUAAAAUUAAACUUAUAAAACCCAAAAAAUUCAAACCUUGAGAAAUUUUAAAACUUAUAAAAAUUCAAGUAAUUUGAAUUUUUAACUAAACUUAUAACUACAUCCACUUUGAAAUUUUUUAUUUUCUUAAAUUUUAGACAAUUUAUAAAUAUUCAAAUUUAUAAAUUAUUUGAAUAUUUAUAAAUUAUUUGAAUAUUUUUAGUUUGAGAAAGUUUGAGAUUUAUUACUUGAACAUGUAAUACUUUUUAAAAAAAAAAUACGUUUAAAAAUCAUUUUUCUGACUUAUUUCAGUUUCUGAUUUUAUUUAUUUUUUGCUAAAAACUGAGACUCCUCAAUUUUAACUUAUAAAUGAAUAGUUUGGUCACAUCCUUAACUUGAUGAACAUGUAAACUAAAUACGUUAGAAGUUUGAAAUGUAAUUAAAUACCAUUUUGAGGAUUUUUAUGCAAUUUUCUCGUUAAUUUUCUGGCAUCACUUUUUUUUCUUGGCACAAAUGUUAUGAUGCUUGCUUUGAGCUUUUUUUUUUUUUUUUUGACAAAAGACUUAAUUUGCUUUUAUGUGUUUAGAGUAUUUUCAACAACAUUCCAUUUUAAAGGUGGUUGAUAGAGUUUAGCAGUGAAUUGUUCUAAUGACAAUUUUAAAAAAUAUUUUCAUUUUCAUUUUGUAUUUUUCAUCUUAAAAUAUGAUUUCAUAAACGGUUGUUCAUCUGAUUUCAUACUACAAAGAUAUGUAUCUAUAAACUUACAUAUAUGCUCUAAAAUAUUUUUAAAAAAUGUAUUUUUUGAAUUUUAAAUUGGCUGUGCAGCAAAAGAAGUUGAAUUGGGAAACGAAAGUUAUGAUUACGAAAUGUCAAAUCACUAACGAUACGACUUGCUAAUAAUGAAUUGAGCUGCUCGAUAAAGAGCAUGCAAGAGUUCAUUAAACAAAAACUUAUCUGCUUAAAGCAGAAAGACGGAACAUCAGAGCAACCAAAAACAAAAAUAAGAUGGACGUUGAUGAAGAUACGAAGAGAAUCGAGGAAGAGCUGAAUGAAACUAUGGUAGAAAUAGAAAAGCUGAAGAAAGAAUUGAAAGAAGAAAUGAAGGAAAUUAGGGAAGAGAUAGAAAAGCUGAAGAAAGAAUUGAAAGAAGAACUGAAGGAAACUAGGGAAGAGAUAGAAAAACUGAAGAAAGAAUUGAAAGAAUUGAAAGAACGGAAAGAAGAUCUCGAGAAGAAGAUUGAAGAAAAGCUGAAGAAAAUAAGGAAGGAGCAUAAUGAAGAGCUAAAGAAUGUAAUCACUGAGAAGAACGAAAUGGUGAGGAUAGUGAUGAAGGACAAUGAUAAAAAACUUGAGGAGAAGCGUUGUGAGUUAGAAGAGUUAGAGGAUACAAACUCGACACUCAUCAUAAAAGAACGUCAAAGCACUGGAGAGAUACAAGAAGCAUUCACAGAAUUAAUUAGGGUAAUAUAUUUACGAGUUAUUUUCAUGUUCUUGAGUGCCGUACUGCUGUUGGUAUAAUUUAUAUGUGGGUGUCUCAUGUAAGUCUGUUUAUGGUAUAUGCAUGCAGGGAUUGAGAGAUUUAUCGUGUGAAGGAUCUUUGAUCAGAGUAAAGAGGAUGGGACAAGUUGAUGAAAAACUUUUUAUGAAAGUAUGCAAACAGAAAUUCAUUGACGAAAACGUUGAGGUGGAAUACGCCAUGCUUUGCUCAAAAUGGCAGAAUGCCCUCAACGACUCAGCAUGGCACCCAUUUAAACGAGUGGGGACUGGAGAAAAUAUGAAGGUUUCGUUAUGUCUAAUGCUCUUUUCUGUACCAGUACUCUCUAUAUUGUUUUACAUGUGGUGAUUCUGGUGAAUGGUGUGGUGUGGUGUAGGAAGUUGUGGAUGAUGAAGACGAGAAACUUAAGAGUUUGAGAGAAGAGUGGGGAGAAGAUGUGAAGAACGCGGUGAAGACAGCUCUCGAGGAGAUGAACGAGUUCAACCCAAGUGGCAGGUAUUCAGUUCCUGUACUGUGGAAUUUUGAACAUGGGAGAAAAGCCACACUCAAAGAAGGUAUUUCUCACAUGACUCAGCAGAUCAAAAAUCUCAAACGUAAACGAACCUAAAAGGUAUGUGCCAUAGCUUUUCAAAUUAAUCUAAUUAACCUAGGUUUAAGGCUAUACACAUUAAUAUAUGAAUGCGUCAGUUUCAUUCUAUGUUUUUAGCUUUGCAUAAAAUGGUUUUGUAAAAAUAUAAACUAAAUGAUGAUACUAAGCGCUCGUGUUCUUGUGUUACAGGGAGCAGGAUGAUCAAUGAUGGAUGUAAGAUUGGUUAUUAACUAUCUUUUGUAACUGAUAAGUAAGCAGCUAUGUGUUGUUUUUUUAAAGGCUUGUUAUUUGCUUCUCGGUAUUUCUCAUUUUGCAUUUUAAGCAAUCUAAACCCCUGGAAUGUACUCUUUUGAAACUUUGCUACAUUCCUACUAAUAUUAACUGUUUUCUUAUCCUUCUCCAGCUCUUUGGUUUGGUGACAUGUUUAUCUUUGUGUCUUGUAAAAAAACCAACGUUAGGGUGAAUACUUGGAUACAAUCAAUCACUCACCGGUGUAAAGCACACCAAGCAUCUCAUAGUUAGACUCAUUUUCAUAUCUAAGCAACAGUGGAAAAUUGAUAGACUCAUUCUUGUAUCCAGGCCUCACAUCACUCAAGAACUGCAGCACAUAAAAAUUAAGCAACAAAAGUUUCCCAACCUGAUGAGAAUGCAGAGAA